UGAACACAGUAAAAUGUGGGCACAAGUAAAUGCUUAUAUAUUUUUAUUUAUACAAUAUGGAAACUUCUUAGUAUUAUAAAUAAAAACUAUUUGAUAUCCUGAAUAAAAACUAUUAUGACAGCAUUCCACUUUGAUCAUUUGUUUUCACGAUGGCGAGCUCUGAACACAAGAAACGUGAAAUUAUUUUGCGCAAACAUACUGAAAAUCCUCAUUUAAGUUAUAGGGCAUUAGCAAAACUUUUAAAAUUACCGCAAUCUUCCGUAUGUUUAUUUUAAAAAGGUUCCGAGAACGAUUGACAGUAGAUCGCAAGCCGGGAAGUGCAGGUAAGCAAGGCGCAAAGGAUAAAAAAAAAGAAGCCCAUGUCUUGCGACUUUUUACAGCGAAUCCGAAGUUAUCGUCCCGUGAUGUCGCAAAAAAGGUCAAAAUGUCGCAGUCAUAUGUACAGAAAACUAAGUCAAGAGCUGGAUUAAAGUCGUUCAAAGCACAAGCUGCACCCAAUCGCGACGCUAAGCAAAAUCUGUCUGCAAAACAGAGAUCACGAAAGUUGUACGACAAUUACUUGACAAAAUUUGGAUGCGUUGUAUUGGAUACCGGGGCAAGAAUUUUAUACUUCUAAGAAUCGUAAGGAUGCCCCAGAAGAUUGCAAGAUAAAAAAGAGAUCGAAGUUUCCAAAAAAAUUUCUUUUAUGGCAAGCUAUUUGUAGUUGUGGUAAAAGAAGUCGUUCAUUCGUAACA